UGAAGAUUUUUAUUUUAAAUCUUACAAUCAUAGAGGGAUUUUUUUGAAAGUGGACCAGGCUCCGUCAGAGCAAUUUUUUUGCGACGGUUUGUUCAUAUGCCCGGAUAGCACUUGGCCUUAAUAGUCCAAAACCGCAGUCGUUUAAUUUUCAUGUUUGCGUCUUGGCUGGUGGUGAAGGUGUAAAGGUCGAAAAAAGGGUGUUUUUUAUACGUGAUUUACUACCGCUACACACGAUGGACACACAUAUGUGGCGGCUCGUUGGAUAGGUACUGUUCAGGAGACCUGGGGCAAAGAGAAAUAUAAAAUGUGUACUAAAGCACUAUUCGAAAAUAACAAAAAGGAUGUAUCAGUCAAAUGCCGGAAAUUUCGAUGAGCUUUAGGAGGUGAUAUUUUGAACCUGGUGACUGUUUAUGGUUAGAUCAUUGGAUGCAGACAUCAAAAACAGCAUAAUUCGUGUAUUUUUAUAAAAUCAAUAUUUUGUUUUCGAGUGAAGGAGGACAUACACUUUAUACCCAAAAAAGUAUCCUGAAACCUGUCACUUCUAUGGCAAUUGGGGUAUUAUUGUAAAGCUAUGCAAAGCCUUUAUCAGGACAACCACUGAUCUGAACAACAACAGUCACCAGGUUCAAAAUAUCA